UUAAGCUGCAGUAUCAACUUGCCAUUAGUUUUCUCAUUAGCCAAGAUUUCUAAAAACACAGAAAUAGGGUACCUGAGAGGAGUUGGCUUAUGCUAGGUGCUGAUUUCAGUACCAAUUUUCAAAAGCAGAAAAUGAGAUGCUUCACUUCACUGUCUAAACCUUCUAAUAUGUGUGAGUCAAAUGUUUUUUCUUCUCAGAGUCCAUAGGAGUAGUUGAUAGGUUUUGAUUGUGGCAGGUAUGGUCUGAUCUCUGUUUUCUGGCGACUUCCCAAACUGUUGAGAGGCCAAAGGCAACACUGGUGUUUAAUUACAAGCAGCACAGAUUGUGGACAUAAAAAAGAAUCAGCAGCAGGAAACCUGUAAGCUGUCAACCUUCUGUCAAGAAACAGGAAAGAAUCCUCUGCAUGGAAAUUAAGUAGUUGAUAUGAAUGUAGGAAAUUUAGGUGCUCCUUAAAUUGAUUAAUAGGAAAACCUGGAAGAGGGAAAAAAGAAGAAUCAAGGGGGUAAAGGACUUGGAAGAAAAAAAAAAAAGAAGUGUAUCAUAAUGAAACUCUGAGAAAGCAACUAUGUCUAUAAGCCUAAAAAUCUGGGCUCUCUCAAGGCUGUGAUAAAUCUCUGCCUCUGGACUGCUAUGCCAAAAAGACAUGAUGGUAAAGCACUAUCUUACCUUUUUACAAAUAUUUAAAAAGUCAAAUUGUCUGGGAAGAGAAGCCAAAUUAAACAUUACAUAAUCCUACAAUGUUUAGCAUUGGUCGUAGAUGUCCUAGAAGAGAACAUGCUGAGAUGCUUCAUGGCCAUAAAGCAAAUGUGUUGCUCUUGAUAGUAAAAGCACAGCUGGAAGAAGCUCAAAUUGGAGAUUUUACACAAGUUAAUGUGAAAUACAGCUGGCAGCAUUUCUGGAGUACUAGUACCAGAGAGGCUUUUUAAUGAAGGGUGACCUCCAAAGUUCACAAGGACCAAUUCAUUUAACUAAACAGAAGCAAGUGCAAAAAGAAGUGUGAAAGCAAAGUAGACAAUGGUCCUGCAAACUCAUUCCUCAUGUAUGUCAAUGCUUGUUCUCUUCAGCAUUUUGAGAGCUUGUAGGUUUUUUUAUUUUUACAUGUGAUAAGAGAAUUGUGUGAGAGUCCUGCAUUCUGCUGAAGUGUUACCUUAAAACCAUGAAUGUGAAUUCCCAAACUACACUUUCUCUCCUUAAGUGGCACUGAAAACCAAGAAAAAGCAAAACCAGAAGCAAGAGAUAGUGGAACUCACAGGCUAAUGAUAAUCAGUCUUGUCUGCUUUUGCUGGAUAAUUGUUUGUAGAAUCAGAAAGAGAAAGCUUAAUACACGCAAAAUAAUUUUUUGCUUCAUCCAUUCCCUUUGUG